UACGUAGGGUGCGAGCGUUGCCCGGAUUCAUUGGGCGUAAAGAGCUCGUAGGCGGCUCAGUAAGUCGGGUGUGAAACCCUCAGGCUCAACCUGGGGACGCCACUCGAUACUGCUGUGGCUAGAGUCCAGUAGAGGAGUGUGGAAUUCCCGGUGUAGCGGUGAAAUGCGCAGAUAUCGGGAGGAACACCAACGGCGAAGGCAGCACUCUGGGCUGGAACUGACGCUGAGGAGCGAAAGCGUGGGUAGCAAACAGG
rnacentral:rRNA from 1 species